rnacentral:rRNA from 1 species
CGAACGAUGAACCCACUUCGGUGGGGGAUUAGUGGCGAACGGGUGAGUAACACGUGGGCAAUCUGCCCUGCACUCUGGGACAAGCCCUGGAAACGGGGUCUAAUACCGGAUACGACCACUUCAGGCAUCUGAUGGUGGUGGAAAGCUCCGGCGGUGCAGGAUGAGCCCGCGGCCUAUCAGCUUGUUGGUGAGGUAACGGCUCACCAAGGCGACGACGGGUAGCCGGCCUGAGAGGGCGACCGGCCACACUGGGACUGAGACACGGCCCAGACUCCUACGGGAGGCAGCAGUGGGGAAUAUUGCACAAUGGGCGAAAGCCUGAUGCAGCGACGCCGCGUGAGGGAUGACGGCCUUCGGGUUGUAAACCUCUUUCAGCAGGGAAGAAGCGAAAGUGACGGUACCUGCAGAAGAAGCGCCGGCUAACUACGUGCCAGCAGCCGCGGUAAUACGUAGGGCGCAAGCGUUGUCCGGAAUUAUUGGGCGUAAAGAGCUCGUAGGCGGCUUGUCGCGUCGGAUGUGAAAGCCCGGGGCUUAACCCCGGGUCUGCAUUCGAUACGGGCAGGCUAGAGUUCGGUAGGGGAGAUCGGAAUUCCUGGUGUAGCGGUGAAAUGCGCAGAUAUCAGGAGGAACACCGGUGGCGAAGGCGGAUCUCUGGGCCGAUACUGACGCUGAGGAGCGAAAGCGUGGGGAGCGAACAGGAUUAGAUACCCUGGUAGUCCACGCCGUAAACGUUGGGAACUAGGUGUGGGCGACAUUCCACGUCGUCCGUGCCGCAGCUAACGCAUUAAGUUCCCCGCC